rnacentral:lncRNA from 1 species
GCAUGUUUAGAAAUUUUAAGAAUAAUUUUUAAAAAUUUGCUUUUAAUGUUUUCUAAAUGUUUUAAAAAAUGGUUUUUAAAAUUAAAUUUUAAGAAUAGAAGUUUGUGUAAAAAUAUAUUUUCAAAUCUUUCUUAAAAAUAAAUUUUAUAUAUAAUAUUUUAUUUUCAAAUUUUCUUUAUAUUUAUAUAAGUAUUUUUUUAAACAAUUUCUUUAAAAAAGUGAAAAUAAGAAAAAAUUAUCAAAAAUAUUUUUGAAUUUGAUUUUUUAUUUAAAUUUUUGUGAAUAAAAUUCAAUUUUAAAAAUAACUCCUAAUUUUUUUCAAAAGAGGUUUUAUUUUGAGGAUACCACCUCAUUAAGGAAUACACUGCAUUACAUGGUGCCUUGCCACGUACGCUCCAUAAAUUGUCUUCAAUUUGAUAUGUCCAUAAAC